GUGCUCCAUUAAAUAAUUUGCAAACUCAGUCAUAAAUAGCAAGACCAUGCUACUGAGAAUACCUUGGAUAAAUCAGAACACUGUAGAGAGAUAUUUUUAUAGAAUGCUGUUUGAUGUAUUCGUGAGUAUACAUUGAGGAGAGUCGAAAGUACUCAACUUUAAGAGGUAGUUGCAAUGCAUUAUGAGAAUAAGGUAUGACUAACUGUUCUCAAGCAUAAUUGAAACCUAGUUUUGAGUUGACUCUUAAGAGUUGAGGAGAAAACGGGGAGUAGUCCUAAAACCUAUUGUACCUGAAGAAUACAAGUAGUUUAGUAGGAAAUCUUCAACCAAGCUUGAGUGAGUGCAAGAAAGGCUUAUAGAAAUAUAAGUCAAAACAGACGUCAGUACAAGUACCAAAAGUGCAUUUCAGAAGGUUUCACAGUCAAUGAAAAUAUGUUCUGAAUGGUUUGGGAACGUUAUAGGUAUUAGUCCUAUAGAGGUUUAGGCAUUUUUAUGCAAUAUGAGAAGUCAAGGGUCGCUCCCGAAGGCUCAGACUCAUAUUCCUCUUAACCUAAUAAUUCGUAGUAAUGUUAUUGUCAGGCGAAAGCCUUGUAAAUUAUUUAUUUUUUA
rnacentral:ncRNA from 1 species